GACGAACGCUGGCGGCGUGCUUAACACAUGCAAGUCGAGCGGUAAGGCCCUUUCGGGGGUACACGAGCGGCGAACGGGUGAGUAACACGUGGGUGACCUGCCCUUAGCUCGGGGAUAAGCCUGGGAAACUGGGUCUAAUACCGGAUAUGACUCCAUGACGCAUGUUGUGGGGUGGAAAGCCUUGUGCGGCUAGGGAUGGGCCUGCGGCCUAUCAGCUUGUUGGUGGGGUGAUGGCCUACCAAGGCGACGACGGGUAGCCGGCCUGAGAGGGCGACCGGCCACACUGGGACUGAGACACGGCCCAGACUCCUACGGGAGGCAGCAGUGGGGAAUCUUGCGCAAUGGGCGAAAGCCUGACGCAGCGACGCCGCGUGGGGAUGACGGCCUC
rnacentral:rRNA from 1 species